UUCAGAGAAUUUGGAUCAGAGAGUUGUUUGCUCAGCCUCCUGAAGAUGUGCUGAUUUGAGAUUGGCAUGAGAAUCAAAGGUGCAUAUCAGUCUAACUUUACUGAUUCUUAAUGUCCUUAUUUUUUCAUAUAAAACUAGGGGAAUAUAUCAGAAAAUGAAUGGUAUGAUAUAUUGGCAGAAAGAUUUCAUGACAUCAACAAAUGUUUUAUAAACAUAUACUUAGUUUUUGAAAAAGGUGGAGUCUGAGAAUUUUAAUGCUGGACCACAAAUAACCACUUUAAAUGCAUUUGUCAUGACUGUGUUCUCCUUUGGUGAGCACUGCAGGCCUUUUUGGUAGGCAUUGUUGUGCCUGACCCUGAAGUUAUGCCCUCCUGGGCCCAGAAGAGAGGAAUUGAAGGAACAUAUGCAGAUCUCUGCACAAAUAAGGAUCUGAAGAAAGCCAUUUUGGAAGAUAUGGUGAG
rnacentral:lncRNA from 1 species